rnacentral:rRNA from 1 species
AUAUCAAUAAGCGGAGGAAAAGAAACCAACAGGGAUUGCCCUAGUAACGGCGAGUGAAGCGGCAACAGCUCAAAUUUGAAAUCUGGCCCCCUCGGGGUUCGAGUUGUAAUUUGUAGAGGAUGCUUCGGCGUCGGCCCCGGGCUAAGUCCCCUGGAACGAGGCGCCCUAGAGGGUGAGAGCCCCGUACUCACUCGGGUGCCCUUCGCCAUGUGAAGCUCCUUCGACGAGUCGAGUUGUUUGGGAAUGCAGCUCUAAGCGGGAGGUAUAUUUCUUCUAAAGCUAAAUACCGGCCAGAGACCGAUAGCGCACAAGUAGAGUGAUCGAAAGAUGAAAAGCACUUUGGAAAGAGAGUUAAAAAGCACGUGAAAUUGUUGAAAGGGAAGCUCUUGCCGCCAGACUUGCCGCGGUUGCUCAGCCGCCCCCCGGGGCGGUGUACUCUUCCGUCGGCAGGCCAGCGUCGGUUCGGGCGACCGGAUAAAGGCCCUGGGAAUGUAGCACCCUCCGGGGUGUGUUAUAGCCCGGGGUGCAAUGCGGUCAGCCCGGUCCGAGGCACGCGUUCGCGAGGACGCUGGCGUAAUGGCUGCAAGCGACCCGUCUUGAAACACGGACCAAGGAGUCUAACAUCUGUGCGAGUGUUUGGGUCUCAAACUCAUGCGCGUAAUGAAAGUGAACGGAGGUGGGAACCCCCUCGAGGGGCGCACCAUCGACCGAUCCUGAUGUCUUCGGAUGGAUUUGAGUAAGAGCAUAGCUGUUGGGACCCGAAAGAUGGUGAACUAUUCCCGGAUAGGGUGAAGCCAGAGGAAACUCUGGUGGAGGCUCGCAGCGGUUCUGACGUGCAAAUCGAUCGUCAAAUCUAGGAAUAGGGGCGAAAGACUAAUCGAACCAU